rnacentral:rRNA from 1 species
UACGUAGGGGGCUAGCGUUGUCCGGAAUCAUUGGGCGUAAAGCGCGCGUAGGCGGCCAGAUAAGUCCGGUGUGAAAGUCACAGGCUCAACCUGUGAAUGCCGCUGGAAACUGUCUGGCUAGAGUCCGGAAGGGGCGAGUGGAAUUCCUGGUGUAGCGGUGGAAUGCGCAGAUAUCAGGAGGAACACCAAUGGCGAAGGCAGAUCUCUGGGCCGUAACUGACGCUGAGGAGCGAAAGCAUGGGGAGCGAACAGG